GGAAUAAUAAAACAAACCUAGCUUUUUAGGGGUUCGUGUCUAUGGAAACCUAAGUUUGCAGAUCUAUCAUGUAAGAGUUUCCUCAACACCAUACAUAAAUGAUCAGAUCACCCACAAGAUCGCCAUUAAUUAGAUGAAGUUUGAAGCGAUGCCGGCCAUCUCUCUCACAUCGAUUAUCAUUUAGGGUUUACGUUCAGAAGACCUACCGGUGGCCGGAGGCUCUAAAACUAAAAGGUAUACAAUCACCUAUCCAUCAUGGUGGCUGGCCGCACAUUCUCGAGAAGGGGGUGUGGGUGAGUUAGAGAACGAGUCGGAGUCGGCUGGAACCGUCGCUGAAGUCCGGCGACUAGAUCUGAGGGAGAAGAUGGGAUAUGAGAUGUUUGGAAUUUGGGGUACAAUUUCAAGAUGGGAUACGAUUGUGGGUUCAAGAGGGAGAGAUGAGUCUGGUUGCAGAUACAAUUUCAAAAGAGAGAGAGAGAUGAGAAAUGAGAUGUUUGAAAUUUGGGAUUGAUGUGAAGGCUUUAAAGAGGUAGACAGAGAUUAGACAUUUGGGGUAAAUGUUUAAACUACCCCUUUUUCUUAUUGGUUAAGAGUGGUUCUCGCGGUUCUUACAACUGGGGGUGGUUUUCACU